GCGGAAGUGGCGGAAUUGGUAGACGCACCAGAUUUAGGUUCUGGCGCCGCAAGUUGUGAGAGUUCAAGUCUCUCCUUCCGCACCA
rnacentral:tRNA from 1 species